UGCCCAAAGACCUUUUCUUUCCCAUAGACAGUAUUGCAUAAUGUUACUCCAAUAUAGCCAAGUAAAUUCUAUACAACAUUAUGGAAGUUAAUAUCCAGGCAAUCAUCCACCUUCCUAAUUGAUUAGCAGUACAGUGUUUUACCAUUGCUCUGACAGUAUACCCUGCGGUCCUAUGCUUGUAUUGAGUUGGGCAUCUUUUACCAUUUAAGGAAAACAAAGAUUAGCAAACAUUGAUUUGCAUAGCAGGGUGGCACCUAAAUAAAGAAGCCACAAAAUACAACAUUGUGAGUAUGAAAAUUGUGCUUAUCAACAGCCUUGGAAAAGACUAAUAGAGCACAAACAUCUGCCACAGGCUCCAACUUGGUGAAAGCAGUCACUGAAAUGGAUGGUAAUAACACAGGAGUAAAAAAAAUAGUUAAGUCUGGAACAUCAUUAUGUUGAUAAAUAUAUGCCCCAAUACUUAUUUCUAUAGUGAGAAUAUUGUUUUGGAAAUAUUUUACUGGUUAGCAAUUCAUAUUUUCUUUCUUCUGUGGUAUUUCCACCAUUAAAGCUAGGCAAUGAGGAUAAUGAACCCAGAGAAAGAAAGAACAAUAUUUUCUAAAAGGUAAAUAAGAAAAACAAAAAAUAUGAUAGAACUAGAGACCAGGUUGCAUAGGAAGGGGAAGAAAAGAGCNCACAAAG
rnacentral:lncRNA from 1 species